UCUUGUGGAUGAGCAAAGGAAGUAGCUUCUUGAGAUGGAAUCUACUACUCCUGGUGAAGAUGCUGUGAA
rnacentral:pre_miRNA from 4 species